UGGGUUGUAGCUCAGUGGCAGAGCACUCGUCUAGUAUGUGUGAGGCACUGGGUUCGAUUCUCAGCACCACAU
rfam:Ictidomys tridecemlineatus contig096904, whole genome shotgun sequence.